rnacentral:rRNA from 1 species
UACGUAGGGGGCAAGCGUUGUCCGGAAUCAUUGGGCGUAAAGAGCGUGUAGGCGGCCCGGUAAGUCCGCUGUGAAAGUCCAGGGCUCAACCCUGGGAUGCCGGUGGAUACUGUCGGGCUCGAGUCCGGAAGAGGAGUGUGGAAUUCCUGGUGUAGCGGUGAAAUGCGCAGAUAUCAGGAGGAACACCAAUGGCGAAGGCAGCUCUCUGGGACGGUACUGACGCUGAGACGCGAAAGCGUGGGGAGCGAACAGG